rnacentral:rRNA from 1 species
GAUGAACGCUGGCGGCGUGCCUAAUACAUGCAAGUCGAGCGAACAGACGAGGAGCUUGCUCCUCUGACGUUAGCGGCGGACGGGUGAGUAACACGUGGAUAACCUACCUAUAAGACUGGGAUAACUUCGGGAAACCGGAGCUAAUACCGGAUAAUAUAUUGAACCGCAUGGUUCAAUAGUGAAAGACGGUUUUGCUGUCACUUAUAGAUGGAUCCGCGCCGCAUUAGCUAGUUGGUAAGGUAACGGCUUACCAAGGCAACGAUGCGUAGACGACGUGAGAGGGGGGUCGGCCACCCUGGAAGUGAGACACGGACCAUACGCCUACGGGACGCAGCAGUAGGGAAUCUGCCGCAAUGGGGGAAAGCCUGACAGAGCAAGGCCGCGUGAGUGAUGAAGGUCUUCGGAUCGUAAAACUCUGUUAUGAGUGAAGAACAAAUGUGUAAGUAACUAUGCACGUCUUGACGGUACCUAAUCAGAAAGCCACGGCUAACUACGUG